AUUGAACGCUGGCGGCAGGCUUAACACAUGCAAGUCGAGCGGAGAUGAGGUGCUUGCACCUUAUCUUAGCGGCGGACGGGUGAGUAAUGCUUAGGAAUCUGCCUAUUAGUGGGGGACAACAUUCCGAAAGGAAUGCUAAUACCGCAUACGUCCUACGGGUGAAAGCAGGGGAUCUUCGGACCUUGCGCUAAUAGAUGAGCCUAAGUCGGAUUAGCUAGUUGGUGGGGUAAAGGCCUACCAAGGCGACGAUCUGUAGCGGGUCUGAGAGGAUGAUCCGCAACACUGGGACUGAGACACGGCCCAGACUCCGACGGGAGGCAGCAGUGGGGAAUAUUGGACAAUGGGGGGAACCCUGAUCCAGCCAUGCCGCGUGUGUGAAGAAGGCCUUAUGGUUGUAAAGCACUUUAAGCGAGGAGGAGGCUACUGAGACUAAUACUCUUGGAUAGUGGACGUUACUCGCAGAAUAAGCACCGGCUAACUCUGUGCCAGCAGCCGCCGUAA
rnacentral:rRNA from 1 species